rnacentral:rRNA from 1 species
UACAGAGACCUCAAGCGUUAUCCGGAAUCAUUGGGCGUAAAGCGUACCGAUAGGUGGUCUAAAAAGUCAGAAGUGAAAUCUCCGAGCUCAACUCGGAAUCUGUCUUUUGAAACUUUUAGACUAGAAGGGCAAAGAGGAAGCUGGAACGAACGGUGUAGUAGUGAAAUGCGUUGAUAUCGUUCGGAACACCAAUAGCGUAGGCAGGCUUCUGGGUGCCACUUGACACUGCUAGGACGAAAGCGUGGGUAGCGAAUGGG